GGAUGCGAUCAUACCAGCACUAAAGCAUCGGAUCCCAUCAGAACCCCGAAGUUAAGCGUGCUUGGGCGAGGGUAGUACUAGGAUGGGUGACCUCCUGGGAAGUCCUUGUGUUGCAUUCC
rnacentral:rRNA from 1 species